GUCGGUAAUUAGGUUUCUUUCUUUUUAUGGAGGUGCUGGGGAUGGAAGCCAGGACCACUCAUUGAAACAGGUGACUUAGCAGAUGGCUUCUUGAUGAGAUGAAGAAUAAAAUAGCAAGACCACUUUGAGAAGUGAUGAGGAUAGAUGUCGCCACCCUGGAGCUGGUGAUGGGGUCAGCCCACUUCUCCGUCAAUGUGCAACACCUCCCUGUAGAGAAUCACAAUCAUCUUGGUGGGAGUUUAAGUUCUGUUGGCCAGUACAACCUUAAUAAGUGGACGGUACACUUUUAAAGAAAGAAUGAAGAAAACUGGAUUCCUCUUAAAGAAAUUGUGAAGAGAAGCCAGCCCUAGAGGGCAGUGUCAGGGUCAGCUGCUUUUAAACUAUCCACAACUGUAAAGUGAAAAGGGAGAAAGACUUGAAGGUUAACUCACUCCCAACUGCAUGUCCAACAUGGAACUCUGAAGACAUAAAUAGAUUAGCGUGCCUUCUAGAAGAGAGCCACGUGGAGGAAAGAUGGUCUGAGCCAACUGGCUGUGGCUGCAGGGUUCUACAGCAUUGGGGUUAUGCCCCAGGACACUGAAGCCAUUCCACUGGGACUCACAACCUGGUUGGGCCACUUCCUAAAUGUGUGACCUUGGGUAAGUUAUUUAACCUUUCUGUGCUCUGUUCAUUCAACAGACAGUUAUUAAGUGGCAACUCUGAGUGCUGGGGAUACUGCAGUGAACAAAACAGACAAAAAUCCCCAUUCUUUUUGUAGAGCGUGUGUGUAGGGAGUGGGGGGUUCUGGGUGAUGGUAACAAUGUAUCAUGUGUGUGCUGGUGACUUCGGUGUUCAGAUUGUAAAAAUUAAUUGAGCUGUACACCUAUGUGGACUUUCCUGUAUUUUACUUUGAAUCCACGGCCUUGUGAAGAUCAUUAAAUAUUAAGUGA